GAUUCCCCCAGCCUCUCCGGAGAUGGCACAGAUGAGGAAGCAGUGCCUGGACUAUCAUCACCAGGAGAUGCAGGCUCUGAAGGAGGUCUUCAAGGAGUAUUUGAUUGAACUGUUUUUCUUGCAACACUUUCAAGGGAACAUGAUGGAUUUCUUAGCUUUCAAGGAGAGACUGUAUGGACCAUUACAAGCAUAUCUUAGGCAGAAUGAUUUGGACAUUGAAGAAGAGGAAGAGGAGCACUUUGAAGUCAUUAAUGAUGAGGUGUAAAGGUUGUGGCCAGAAAGCACGGGCAGCCUGGGACUCCUGUUGCCAUAGCAACCCAGCUACCGCCGAGGACUUCUGCGGCUUUUCCAGCCCAGCAGCAGCCGCUCCAGGUACUUUCUGAUGGCUCCACAGUGCAGCUCCCCAGACUUUCCUCACUCGGAUUUGAGGACUCGAUGUGCUGAGGCAGGACCCAGAGGGGUCCCAAGAGCCUGUCCUCUUUUGUUCAAAAUACAUCUUGAAACGUCUUUGUGAAGGCUCUUAGUUUUAAUGCAUGGAAAAUCAGUGUGAUAUAAAUUAACACACAUUUCUACUUCCCAUAAUUUUUGUCUCCUAAUAGCAAAUACAUAUGGGGACUCCAGUACCUGGAGAUGUGAAUUCCAUAAAAAUGGAAGCAUCUAAGAGGCAGUGAACACUGGCGCCCACAGCAGGAGAACCAGGUGCAUCAGCGCAUUGCGGAGCUGAGGAAAGCAGGUCUGUGGUCCCAGAGGCGUCUGCUGAAGCUGCAGGAGGCCCACGACCCAAGUCCCACUGGGACUAUCUGCUGGAGGAGAUGCAGUGGAUGGCCACAGACUUUGCCCAGGAGAGGUGGAAGGUGGCCUCUGUGAAGAAGAUGGUCAGAGCUGUGGCCCGGCAGCUGCAGGACAGGACGCGCAGGGAGGCCGGGGCCAGGAGGGAGGAGCCGAGCAGGCUGAGGCAGACGUCACCUGUACUACCAGAGAAAUCGAGCGUCCCUGGUCUAGUACUGCGCAGGUAGUAAAGAUUCCAGCAUCUUGGAAGCAAGUGCUCCACUGGAAAAUAAAAGCCACGUGGUGAGUGUUUUCUUUGUGAUAUCAGAACUUCAUGUUCCGGGUGAGGGGCUUCAGGGUGCCCGUGUCCUUGCCGGGGGGCUCCGGUCUCCAGUCUCCUCAGCAUUUCCCUCUGGUCUCCCUCCAGAGAGGACAGAUCUACUCACGAUCUUUGGGACCACCCAGAAAGGGUCAAUUUCAAAAUCGAAUUUUCUCAGGAUGACUUCAAAUCAAAACAGAAACGUGUGGUCUUGCCUUUGGUUUUUCCGCCCAAACUGCCUUUUGGCUUUGCCGUGUGGGGACCGGGCACCUCGACUGUCCUCUGUGUCCUGUGAUGGGGCAGGUUACGCCAUGUCUGAUCAGUAGGACAGCGUCCCUUGGGUUCAUACCCUUUAUCUGCAGUUCUAAAACUCUGAAAGCUCAGACAGCAGAAAGGUUUUGAUUGUCAAGAACUUUCUAAUAAUAAAAUACAGAAAUAGAUUAAUAGUUGCUACAAACAUAAAGAGAGACUCCAUGGUAGAACACUUUAGGAAGCACAUUUUAUCUUUUUUGAACCAACAUGUAUUUCCAAACAUGUAAGUAAUAAUAUCAAGCGUGGUGGGAAGAUUGGAUUGGAGGCUGAUUCUGAUCUGUGUGUUGGGAUGAACUGUGGCAUUCACAGCAUUGAGCAAAAUCAUCUUCAAGGACAGCGUUUAAUUCUGUUGUUGACAAGUCUUUUAAGAAAAAGUACUAGUUUGGGAAUUUUUCACAGAUACAAAUAAGCUUGACCCCUAAAUUUAAAAUAUUAUUUAAAAAAUAAAAUGUCCCAUUUUUAAUCACCUACUCAAAGUGGAAAACCAACACAUGCCCCUAGGAACUCACAGUCCUGGUGGUGAGUAUCGGAAAGCACAGGGAAAGGAGUGCCUGACCUGGGAGAACGGAGGUCAUGCUGAGUCUUCAGAGCAAAUAGGAAGUUCCUGGAUGGUUACGGGGGAGGGAAAGUCACGGCAGCAGGAGUAGCGCACACAUCACAUGCAUGUGACAGGGAGCAGUGCAGUGCAUUCAGGAAGCUCGGGGCUGUGUGGUGAGGACUCAGAACGCAGGGAGAAGGCGGCACAGGCCCAGAGGAUGAGGGGCUGUGGGUCAGAGAAUGGUGGGAACCUCCCCAAAUCCCAAGUUCCCUGAGGCCAGCCCAGGGCCAGCCUUGUGUGCGGGUGUUUCUGAGGAUGGCGCGUCUCUGCAUGAGCCUUGUGUGUCAUGUGCAAGAGUGUGUGUUGUGUCCUAUGUGUGGGAGGGAGCUGCCGGCGGUGCAUUUGUGGGGGCCGAGGGCCAGUCAGGAUGUGCCAUUAGAACCACGUGGCUCCUGAAAGCAAGCCCGUGAUACCAGAGAUACCUGGUAGUAGCAUCUAUAUCUGAUUAGCUGUACAUCUCUUGACAGUCUUUUUAAAAGCAUGAGUGAAGAAAGACAUAAACUUCCGGAUUUGCGUAAGUGAGCUUGCCAACUAAGGGAGCACUUGAUUAGACUCCAGAAACAGAAACUGCAGCUGCUCCCACCACCCCCACCACCACAGGCCCUGCCCGGGGCACAGCCAACCACACAAGUGCAAGUGCAGCCGUCACCCGCCUACCACAGCAGAGCCCCCAGCUCACCACAGUCACGGCCCCGAGACCCAGAGCCCUGUUGAUGGGCACCACCAUGGCCAACCUCCAGGUAGCCCGGCUUGUAAGCGUUCGGUCAUCAUUGCUUUUUUUUUGCUUUUUUUUUUUUUUUUUUUUUGAGAAGGAGUUUCACUCUUGUUACCUGGGCUGGAGUGCAAUGGCCCAAUCUUGGCUCAUUGCAACCUUCCCCUCCUGGGUUCAAGUGAUUCUCCUGCAUCAGCCUCCCCAUUAGCUGGGAUUACAGGCAUGCACCACCACGCCCGGCUAAUUUUGUAUUUUUAGUAGAGACCGGGUUUCACCAUGUUGGCCAGGCUGGUCUCGAACUCCUGACCUCAGGUGAUCCACCCACUUCAGCCUCCCAAAGUGCUGGGAUUACAAGACUCGAGUUUCCACCUCCCACCUGCAAGGCCCAAGACUGACGUCAGCGCUGACGUACCAGAUGGCCCAGGUUGCUGUGGCCACGCCCCCUGUGGUGUCUGUCCUGGCAGUUGUGGUGCUGUCAGCCAGGGUCACAGUGCUUCCAUCAACGCAACGGGAUCAGUGUUGUGAUAAGGCAGCUGCAAAAAGCGGCAGGUAGGCAGCCACCUUCGCCUCACCAAACUCGAAACAACUCACUUGAGUGAGUUGCAUCAAACCUUUCUAAAUUUCUCAUUCUAGAAGUCAUGCCAUCAGUUGUACUUAAACAUAUCCAUCAUAUUUCAGUUGCAAAAGAUGGUGAAGAACUCAAGCUGAAGAGGUGUCUGCUGAAUUUUGUUGCUUCGGUAGGAGCUUUUCACCAUCAGUUUUUAGAAAGUACGCAUGACUCUCCUUCUGUUGAUAUCUCUCUUGAUUUGGCAAAGAGUACAAGGAGGACCGCAAAGGGUUGCCAUAUAAUCAUCACAAAUAGAUCCAGGGAUGCCAUAUCACGUCCUGUAGAGAGUCCUCAUUGCGACGCUUGCUCCACACAGCAUUCAUUCAUAUCAGCUGCAACUUGACACCCAAGGCACGGGAAACAAAACGUGCCACAGAGGCAGACUCCACAGUCGCUGAAGCUGGGCAACAGAUUUGAGCAGACACUCCACCAAAGAAGCUCUCUAGGUGGCAAAUAAGCACUGUCCUCUGGGAAAUGCAAAUAAAAAUCACAAUGAGAAACUACUGCACACCCGUGAGAAUGCCUUAAAAAAAAAAAAAGUUUUAAAAAAGUUAAUGGAAGGGUUAAACAAUACAUUAGAGAAUUUGCGAGCUACAGAGAGAUCUGGAGAAAUAAUCAUGAUAGCAUGAGACUAGCAAACAAGACAAAGAAGACAGGCUGGCUGCAGUGCUCAGGCCUGUAACCCCAGCACUUUGGGAGGCCAGUGUGGGUGGAUUGUUUGAGCCAAGCAGUUCAAGACCAGUCUGAGCAACAGAGUGAGGCCCCGUCUCUGCAAAAAAAAUAAGAAAAGAAGAGGGAGGGGUGAGAAGAUCUCACAUUCAACUGAGUUCCAGAAGAGAAUGAAAAAAGAAAAUAUUCAAAGAGUGGAUGGCUGAGAAUUUUCCAGAAUGGGUUUAAUUUACCAGUCUAAAGACUGAAGAAAUACAACAAGUCCCUAGCAGGAUACAGACAAAGAUACCUGUGCCUGACACAUCUGGGCAAACUGUGGCACUCAAAGCAGAUGAGAAAACCAUGAAAGAAUCCAGGAGGAAAACAGAUUUCUCACGAAGGAAAGGCGAUUCCAUGGACAGCUCCCUUCUUAGUAGGAACUGUGGAAACCAGAAGUAGCUUUAAAGUGCUGGGAUAAAACUGUCUUUCAAGGAUAAGAGUGAAAACAAAGACAUACUCAGACAAAAACUGAAAACAUUUACCACAAACAAACUCACCUUAAGCAGGCAAAUGGCCCUCGAUGUGGAAAGCAAAGCUCAGGGGACAGAGGGUGUACUGAAGAGUUGGCGGUGAUGAUCCCUGGAGGGUCCCCCCAGGGCCAAGAAGGGGGCUGGGAGCCAUGCAUGGUGAGACUGGAGUGUGAGCUUGAGGACAGCAAGAAUCAGACGACCACCCCAGGCUGCCAGGGUGUGGCUCAGCCUAUCUGCCCCUCACGCUGAGCUGCACAGAUGCAAACACCUUCCAAACACAGUCACGAGGCCUUAGGAACGUCUCCAGAGCUUCCGUCAUCAUCCGGGUCUCCUCGUCAGCUGCUGCCUGGUGAGGGCUCUGCCAGAGGACAGCCCGCCAUCAAGGCUGAGGAGGCCGCCCCCACGUGCCACCCACGAAGCUGCCUGCAGGCCGGGAGGCUUCUCUUUUGGCUUCAGCCACAUGUGAAGGAGAACCUGUCAAGCUCCGGCUGAUGAA
rnacentral:lncRNA from 1 species